rnacentral:snRNA from 1 species
GAGCCUUGGAGGGAUGUGACAUCUAUCACCCCAUUGAUCGCCAGGGUAGAGUAGGUUGAUCUGGCUGGCUAGGUGGGUGUCCCCUCCUCCCUUAACACUCCAUGUGUAUCCCUCUGGAAUCUGAGUGCUCCAUCAAAGAGGACGGCCUUCCCCAAAUAGCAAAGGACCAGUCUUAGAUCUAGGGUAUGGGAGUAGCUGCACUCCCCUGCUAGAACCUCCAACAAGCUGUCAAGAGAGCCUUGGAGUCUUGAUGUGUCAGUAACUACUGUAAACCACUAAAGCU